GACCUCUCCUCCCAUACCAACACACUCUAUAAAAACAGAAUAAAAAGGGAGAGAAGUGGACGGAAAACAAAAACUGAGGGAGGGGAAUAACGAAAGGAAAAAAAGAACGAAAAAAGAAGGCAGCAGCCGAAAAUAGCUGCGCAAGGAACAAUACCCACCCCCUCGUCAUCGUCUUGUUCAACCCCUCCCCAUUGUUCUGUUUUCUGCUUCUACCAAAAACGAUUCCCCCCACCAUGGACUGAUCUUCCUUAGUCGUUGAACACCCAAAGAACGACCUCCUCAUCUAACCAUCUUCUUCCAUCAACAAAGACCAAAGACCAGCAGCUACACCAUAAAAAGCCAACGCCCAACACCACCCUUGAAGACGCCAAAACACAGACAAAAAAAGAAAGAAAGGAAGCAGCAUCAGCCAAACAACGACCAUUCUGUUUCGGACUUUCAAUUUGGAAUCCGAUGGGGUUCGAUUAAUGUCGAGGUGCUGUUCGAGGUUCAUUCGACAUCCGCGUUUCAUUGGCAAAGCUCUGUUUGAGAUGUUAUGGAAAAUGUGAUGAAUUUGGGGAUCAACUUAUUAAUGUGAUGUGGAAGGUACUCCUCGUCUUCUGCUUGAAAUUUAGUGAACACCAUGUGUGCUCAUAUUUAACUUCAUGCACGUCAGGGAGAAUUUGAUGAACUUGUUUACCAAGGAAAGUUGGUUUUCUGUUUGGAAAAGAAUGAAGCUCAAGAUUUGGCAUAAUAAGUGUUUGGUAGGACUUGUGCUCAAGAAGAGAAAUUCAACGUAUCUAUAUCGCCUAAUUCUGUGCCUAAUGAUUGGGGAAUGUUGUCUAUGUAAACUAUGUAUAGUUCUCAUGGUUGGGAUUCUUAUUCUUGGGGUUUCUUGGCUGAGGCUAAUGAAAUUGAUACUGUGAUUCUAAAAAAAAUGAAGUUAUGUGCUGGUUGGGAAGUA